CCUACGGGAGGCAGCAGUGGGGAAUAUUGCACAAUGGGGGAAACCCUGAUGCAGCGACGCCGCGUGAGUGAAGACGUACUUCGUUAUGUAAAGCUCUAUCAGCAGGGAAGAAAAUGACGGUACCUGAGUAAGAAGCCACGGCUAACUACGUGCAAGAAGCCGCGGUAAUACGUAGGCGGAAAGCGUUAUACGGAUUUACUGGGUGUAAAGGGAGCGUAGACGGCAGUGCAAGUCUGGAGUGAAAGUCGGGGGCUCAACCCUCGGACUGCUCUGGAAACUGUACGGCUUGAGUGCAGGAGAGGUAAGUGGAAUUCCUAGUGUAGCGGUGAAAUGCGUAGAUAUUAGGAGGAACACCAGUGGCGAAGGCGGCUUACUGGACUGUAACUGACGUUGAGGCUCGAAAGCGUGGGUAGCAAACAGGAUUAGAUACCCUUGUAGUC
rnacentral:rRNA from 1 species